rnacentral:misc_RNA from 1 species
CCCCUUUUAACAUGCUCAUUUCAGAAGCAAAUAGAUUUAUCAAUAGACCUGUCAAACCCAGUUUCAUCAGAGACAGAAGAUGAACAGAUGAAACAUCCUGCUGACUUUCAAGGAUAGCUAAUAAUAAUCCCACACUCUUUUCUAAAAGCUGUGGAUUCAAGGUAUUUUCUGCAACCCACACAAUGCGCCCCAGAAUAUGUUCAGGCUGUAAUGCCUCAGCCCAAGUAUUGCACUUGUCACUUUGAAGACCAGAAGUUAACAACCGACAAGCUUCACACAGGCAUUGAGUGUCAUCCAAAAACAACUGGUCGACAAUUAUCUCAAUCAGUCCAUUAGUAGAGAUUAUAUGCUUCAUUGGAACUUCCUGACAGGCAAGGUUUCCAAUGAUGCCCAGGCAGAUCUCCGUGAUUCUUACUGACUGUGAAAACAUAAGGUGAGCCAAAAGCACUUCAAGUAUAAGGUUUUCCACCAUAAGUUCUGCAUGAGUUUUACUCGCAGCAAGAUCCCACAAAACACAUCCAUACUCUUCCCAAGCCUCUUCUCCUGUUGGCACACAAGGCUGUUCACAUCUAAAAGAUGAAUCCUUUUUGUCUCCAUCUUGACAAGCAGAUUUAUCCAAACUAUCAACUGUGCUCAUACUCUCAGACUCGUUGAAUGAGUCUUGAACUUGAUCUCUAGAUGGAAAGGCUCCACAAUCUUCCAUGCAAUCAACACUCAACCCAUCACCAGUGGCAUCG